UACAGUCCUUUCUUUGUUUACUUUGUAGUCCCUGUGCAGUACUGGAAUGGGAAAUGUGGAGUCAAUCAGUGCAAAUGAGAAUCAAGCCACAUGUCUGAAAAGCAAUGAGCAACUGAAGAAAUAGUUUUGAAGGGGAAAGUUUGUAAUUAACCUCUCUAACACCAUCCUCAAAGCAGAGCACCUGAUCACUAUGUGGCAUAGACAGCUUCUCUGCACUGUAGAAUAUGAUGCACCAUUUGUGGGAUCUGUAUCAGUAAGGCCACUCAUGCUAUAGCCAUAGCAAGUGUCAUCCUGGUAUUCUGUGGAAAGCCUAGCAACAACCCACAGACAAAAUGUAAGCAUGAUUUAUACUAGCAUUGCACUGAUAAAAAUGAGGGCUUCAGCCUCCCUGUAAUCCCUGUUUAGGAUUACAGUCAUAAAUAUUACCAUUAUUAGGCUGUAUGAUCCAUUAUUCAAAAGUCCCUUUAAAAUUUGUUCUAAUGGAAUCUGAAGCUGACCAGAGCUCUGGAAUGGAUCUUCUGAGGAUUUUCUGUAUAGUGAGCUUCCCUGAAGGCCAAAAGGGCUUUUAAACUAAAGAAGACAGGGUUUUUUUUGAAAAUGAAGUAUUUGUUUUAAAAUGAAAUAUAGUGAUUAGGAGAAAGAGAGCAGGAAAAAACCCAACCCCAUACAUCAUAGGGUGGGUAUCACAGCUAUUUGAUUAGAUUUAAAACAUAAAUGUUCAUUAAAGGAGAACUAGUAGGAAAAAUGAACUCCCUUUUGAGAUUGAAAUCAUCCAUUUACUCCACAUUUCUGAGAAAGACAGAGUAGCCUUAAAAAUAACUUAGGUCUUUCUUUCGUUUUGCUACUGUUUUUGUUUGUUGUUAAAUUCUUCGUUGGACUAAGAUAAUUGAAUAUUUAUGGUAUUUUUCAUUAUAAUAGUAAAUGCAUAAUAAGGAAAUUACAAUAAUGGCACAUUUUGCUGUGUCUUUAACAUGUUAAUUCUAAGGAGAAAGUGAUAAAGAUCCCUUGAUUUUGAUACAAUUUUGUGAAGAACAUUGCUGUUAAUCUUACAGUGGAAAAUUUGAGAAAAUUUUCAUACAUUGUCACUGAAGGCAACCUCACUAUAAUUGCUUUCUUAUGUACUGCUUUAUGAUACUGGAAAUAGUUGAUUAAUUAUGUGCUGAACUGGUUCUCUUGUCAGGAGAGGGUAAAAAAAAUCACUUAAAUUAGUCAGAUGAUUUCACCUCAGUGACAAACAUGAACACACUUUAACAUCAACAUUUUUAUAUAUUGCCAAAAUCUAAUAAACUUCUGAUGAAUUCCAGAAUAGGAGGAAUUUGAGAAUUCAGGCUGAAAGUACAUUUUUUAUUACAACUGUUGCAAAAAGACUCUUGCAAUACAGGUUUCAGAGAGAGUCUUGCACAUCUCUUUGGCUUUUUUACUGACCAGAAGUGAAUGACAAUCGUAUGGAACAAUUUUGAUCCAGUUUAUUAAGUUUUAUAUGACAGCACAAGAUAUGAGGUCAAAAAACUGCUAACCUUCUGGACUGGAGUGAGAUAAUCAAUACAUUGGUCCUGUCUUAAAGAUUCAAGGGAGAACUUUUCCUGCAGAGGGUGGACUAAACCAACAUACUCUUCUAUAAUAGCCUUCAUGAGUGCCUUUGCCCUCAUACUGCUUUUCUGUUAAGGUCUGACCCAAAGAUCAUUCACAGAAAAGAGGAUCUUACAGUGGGCUUUGGCUUGGGUCAGUGAGUGAGGUCAGGUCAGGCAUCACAAAGCUUGGCAAGAAAGGGAAUCAGGUCACAAAGACCACAAUGGUAAAGAAAAUCCACAAGUGACAUUUCAGAGGGGAGUGAAAAAUAACACUAAGGCAGAAUUCAUCUUGACAAAGUCAGACAUCUAAAAGUUACUUGUCAUAUUUCCUUCAUAGCCAUAGGAUAAGAAAGAGAUGAGAUAGUGAUUCAUUGAACCUGUCUUAGAUAUCUACUACAGGUUGAGAUGAACUGCCUUCUGGAGGGGACUUUUUCUCUCCUUUGACUAUAAAGGAGCCCAGGGGACUAGCUGACAUUUAGGGAGCUGGCUUUUAGAUUAUAAAGUUAGAAAAUCCCUGUCAAAGGAAUCUGUGGGAGUAGCUCUCUUUCGCUCUCUCCUCUUUCCUCCUCCUAGCCAUUAAGACAGUACCGCAGGUAGGUCUGCUGCCUUGCAAAUGCACCCUUCUGAUCCUCUGGUAUGUCUAGACACUAUGCUUUCCUUUAGAAAAUCUAAGCUAGGAAGCAGACAUCUAAUUGUUUUACCUGAAAUAAGUUCCCUUUUCUCUGAAAAACCAUGAUUUUUCCGAUUCAAGAGUAAUAAUUUCAGUUGAAUAAACUUAGAUUACUUAGAGUGAGAAUACAGCUCAAGGUUCAACUGCACCUCUAUUUUCCUUCUGAAUAGGAUAAAUAUCCCCUAGUAUUCCUUCCACCUCUUCUAACCAUAAGUUAGCAGGAAUUCAAAUAAGAUUGUUCUAUAUCCCAGGUGCUGUUCUUAAUACCGGACUACAGGCAGGGUCCAGAGGUAACAACAUUCUUGUUGAAAUCAAAGACUGACAAAGUUGACUUGUAUUUAGUGUGUAUGUUUAGAAAUAUGGCCCAACAUUUAUUCAGGACAAUACAUAUAGAAAUCAUUUCAUCUCUUUCCUCAUAUUAUUAUAUAGAAUAGAGUAUAGUUAUGUCCUUCAUGGAGAAGAAAAGCACUUCAAAACAAAAGAUACCUUCUGUUUAAUGCCAUAGAGGAGAAAAAAUGGAACCUAAUUUCUUUAGACAUUAUUUCUGGCACCUAAUUUCUUUGGUUACUGGGUUGGUUUGAGUUAAUUCUUCUCACAUUUUCAAAGAUUUUUUUACUAGCAGCUUGAUUUUUAAAGAUAUUUGGUUUCUAAAAAUAUAUGUUUUUCCAUAGUGGAAUUUUCCAUCAUACUGCCUUUUUAAGGACCAAAAUAUUUGGUCAUUGAUAGCCAGUGACAUUUGAUUUUCUAAAUUUAAUUAAAAAUAUAUUUGGGCCAUUAAGGUAGUUAAUCUUUGGAUGCUUUUGAAAAUUUAGACUUGCAUAUUGAAUCCAUUUAUUAUUUGUACUCAAUUUUGAAAUAAAGUUAUUUGAUUAGAAAUACUACUAUUUUUAGUGGACCAUAGCCCUUAAUUCAAGUGUUAUAUUUUGAUUCACUGCAAACAAAAAUCCUCAGGAGAUUAGUAGAGCAAAUGGAGGCAUCUCUGAUAAGACACACAUGAGCUGUUUUGGAAAUAACCAUCACUUGAGAUACAGACUUUGGUUUCUCUACUUUUUUCUCAUUUUUUUUUUUUUAAUCACUGAGACAGAACAGUAUUUGUUACAAUAAGGCAAGAGCAGAGAAGAAAUAACUGCAAAUAAAAUAGAGCAGCUCAUACAGUACUUGCAAUUCUCAAUUGAGUUAGCCAGAAUUUUAAGCACUUGUUGGAAUGCUUCAGAGUUAAAACAUUUGAAGGUGUGAUGUUCUGGUGAGAGAGGUAUUAGGCUGAUUCUGCUGUCUUGGUUUUGGAUUUCACACUGAUACAAACAGCCCUGGUUCAUAAGGUUUUGGAGUAAAAGUACAAAACAAGGUAUGUAAAUAUUUAAGUUAUAAACUCCACAAAACACGACAUUUUUCUUGAUAUCUUUACAAAAUCUGGGAGUGAGUUUGAUGGAUACAAUUUGCAUGAGCAGACAUUGUCACCUAAAUAUUAAAUGGGGGUUCAUGUGCUUUUGUAUCCUUAGCCAAAUGCUUGAUAUAACUCCAACAGUUGCUUCCCAGCUGAAAGGUUUCAGCACAAAUGACUGCUUUACUUCCUGAAGGUGAAAGAACUGUGUUCCCUUCUGCUAGGAACACGUUCAGGCCUUUGAAGUGCAAUUCUCAUAUUCUGAAUGCAUAAUAGGAAAAGUGUCCCUUUUUCUUUGGUAAUGUAUAUUUUGCCUUUAGACUGUAGGUUGAGAAAUGCUUCUCUGUGGGCAUUCCUUGAUGCCAAUGUUGGUUUCCAAUUUCAGCUAUUCCUUUGUUAUGCCCUGGGUUAAUAAAACUCAUGUUAUAUCAAGUUUCCAGGAGCAAGAGAAAGUUCAAAUGAGGAGAACUUAGUAAGGCACUGUGUCAUUUCCGUUAAGCAAUCCUGGCUGAUUCUGUCCUUUCCCAUCCAGGAGGAUUUCCAGGAAGAUUUCCCCACUGUAUACAUUUUUUAGGACCUCUUGUGCUCU